AGCAGCCGCGGUAAUUCCAGCUCCAAUAGCGUAUAUUAAAGUUGUUGCAGUUAAAAAGCUCGUAGUUGAAUUUCGGGAUCAAUAUGUUGGUCGUGCCCUGGUACGUACUGGCGUCAUUGGUUUCUACCUUCUGAAGAACCUCGAUGUCAUUAAUUUGGUGUCUUGGGGAAUCAGGACUGUUACUUUGAAAAAUUAGAGUGUUUAAAGCAAGCUCACGCUUGAAUACAUUAGCAUGGAAUAAUGAAAUAGGACGUUUGAUUCUAUUUUGUGGUUUCUAGGGUCGACGUAAUGAUUAAUAGGGAUAGUUGGGGCAUUAGUAUUCAAUUGUCAGAGGUGAAAUUCUGGAUUUAUUGAAGACUAACUACUGCG
rnacentral:rRNA from 1 species